AACGAACGCUGGCGGCAUGCCUAACACAUGCAAGUCGAACGAAGGCUUCGGCCUUAGUGGCGCACGGGUGCGUAACGCGUGGGAAUCUGCCCUUUGCUUCGGAAUAACAGUUAGAAAUGACUGCUAAUACCGGAUAAUGACUUCGGUCCAAAGAUUUAUCGGCAAAGGAUGAGCCCGCGUAAGAUUAGGUAGUUGGUGGGGUAAUGGCCUACCAAGCCGACGAUCUUUAGCUGGUCUGAGAGGAUGAUCAGCCACACUGGGACUGAGACACGGCCCAGACUCCUACGGGAGGCAGCAGUGGGGAAUAUUGGACAAUGGGCGAAAGCCUGAUCCAGCAAUGCCGCGUGAGUGAUGAAGGCCUUAGGGUUGUAAAGCUCUUUUACCCGGGAUGAUAAUGACAGUACCGGGAGAAUAAGCUCCGGCUAACUCCGUGCCAGCCGCCGCAGUAAGAC
rnacentral:rRNA from 1 species